rnacentral:rRNA from 1 species
AUACGGAGGAUGCGAGCGUUAUCCGGAUUUAUUGGGUUUAAAGGGAGCGUAGGCGGGAGCUUAAGUCAGCGGUUAAAUGGUGCGGCUCAACCGUGCCCUGCCGUUGAAACUGGGUUUCUUGAGAGUGCAAGAGGCGGAUGGAAUUCAUGGUGUAGCGGUGAAAUGCUUAGAUAUCAUGAAGAACUCCGAUUGCGAAGGCAGUCCGCUGGGGCACGUCUGACGCUGCUGCUCGAAGGUGCGGGAAUCAAACAGGAUUAGAUACCCUGGUAGUCCGCACGGUAAACGAUGAUUACCCGCUGUCGGCGGCAGACAGUCGGCGGCCAAGCGAAAGCGAUAAGUAAUCCACCUGGGGAGUACGCCAGCAACGGUGAAACUCAAAGGAAUUGACGGGG